rnacentral:snRNA from 15 species
AUAUUUACCUGGUAGGGGAGAUACCGUGAUCAAGAAGCUGGUUCACCCAGAGCGAGGCUCAAGCGUUGCUGUGCUCCUCCGUAUGGGUCCGAGUCUGUACGAAGAGCAACUUUAUCUACAGAAUCUAUGACUC